rnacentral:rRNA from 1 species
GUGUCAGCCGCCGCGGUAAUACGUAGGGGGCAAGCGUUGUCCGGAUUUAUUGGGCGUAAAGAGCGUGUAGGCGGCCGCACAGGUCCGUUGUGAAAACUGGAGGCUUAACCUUCAGACGUCGAUGGAAACCGUGCGGCUAGAGUCCGGAAGAGGAGAAUGGAAUUCCUGGUGUAGCGGUGAAAUGCGCAGAUAUCAGGAAGAACACCCGUGGCUAAGGCGGUUCUCUAGUACGGUACUGACGCUGAGACGCGAAAGCGUGGGGAGCGAACAGGAUUAGAUACCCCCGUAGUCC